AGCAGCCGCGGUAAUUCCAGCUCCAAUAGCGUAUAUUAAAGUUGUUGCAGUUAAAAAGCUCGUAGUUGAAUUUCGGGAUCAAUUUAUUGGUCGUGCAAUAGUACGUACUGGUAUUAUUGGUUCCUACCUUCUGAUGAACCAUGAUGUCAUUAAUUUGGUGUUAUGGGGAAUCAGGACUGUUACUUUGAAAAAAUUAGAGUGUUUAAAGCAGGCUCACGCUUGAAUACAUUAGCAUGGAAUAAUGAAAUAGGACGUUUGAUUCUAUUUUGUUGGUUUUCUAGGAUCGACGUAAUGAUUAAUAGGGAUAGUUGGGGGGCAUUAGUAUUCAAUUGUCAGAGGUGAAAUUCUUGGAUUUAUUGAAGACUAACUACUGCGAAAGCAUUUGCCAAGGAUGUUUUCAUUAAUCAAGAACGAAAGUUAGGGGAUCGAAGACGAUCAGAUACCGUCGUAGUCUUAACCAUAAACUAUGCCGACUAGGGAUCGGAUGAUGUUAAUUUUUAAUGUA
rnacentral:rRNA from 1 species